rnacentral:rRNA from 1 species
ACCGCGUGGGUGAAGAAGGCCUUCGGGUUGUAAAGCCCUUUUGUUGGGAAAGAAAUCCAGCUGGCUAAUACCCGGUUGGGAUGACGGUACCCAAAGAAUAAGCACCGGCUAACUUCGUGCCAGCAGCCGCGGUAAUACGAAGGGUGCAAGCGUUACUCGGAAUUACUGGGCGUAAAGCGUGCGUAGGUGGUCGUUUAAGUCCGUUGUGAAAGCCCUGGGCUCAACCUGGGAACUGCAGUGGAUACUGGGCGACUAGAAUGUGGUAGAGGGUAGCGGAAUUCCUGGUGUAGCAGUGAAAUGCGUAGAGAUCAGGAGGAACAUCCAUGGCGAAGGCAGCUACCUGGACCAACAUUGACACUGAGGCACGAAAGCGUGGGGAGCAAACAGGAUUAGAUACCCUGGUAGUCCACGCCCUAAACGAUGCGAACUGGAUGUUGGGUGCAAUUUGGCACGCAGUAUCGAAGCUAACGCGUUAAGUUCGCCGCCUGGGGAGUACGGUCGCAAGACUGAAACUCAAAUGAAUUGACGG